GAUCAUGGCUUAGGAUGAACGCUAGCUACAGGCUUAACACAUGCAAGUCGAGGGGCAGCAUGGUCUUAGCUUGCUAAGGCUGAUGGCGACCGGCGCACGGGUGAGUAACACGUAUCCAACCUGCCGUCUACUCUUGGCCAGCCUUCUGAAAGGAAGAUUAAUCCAGGAUGGGAUCAUGAGUUCACAUGUUCGCAUGAUUAAAGGUAUUUUCCGGUUAGACGAUGGGGAG
rnacentral:rRNA from 1 species